ACAAAGUACAACAAGCAAUUAGAGAGAUGAUUUGAGGGGUGGCAGGACAUAUCUUCACAAGGAGAAGGUUCACCAACACAGAACAUCUGAAAAAUGAAAAGCGCUUUGGGUUUCGUAGAGGCAAGAAUAUGAGAGAGUCAUCUACUUUGGGAGUCUUGAGAAAGGGUGGAGGACACCAGCCUUCCUUUGGAAUAGACAGGGUAUGGUGGUCCUUAGAACAGUAUAAGGUGGCAGACUUUGGAAAAUCAACCGAUAAAGAGUUUUCUUAACCAUGUACAUUUACCAGGCGCACAGGGAUCAAGUAAAGUUUUACAUUUGUCUCCACUGCAGACCAGAAAACCACAUUGAACUCUGUUAUUUUACAACUCAAGGAGAGAUGAUUCUGCCCAAAAGGAAGAACAAAGCAGUGAAAAAGGGAAGAAACGAAGGCAUGGAAGGCUAUUCAGGCCAUGGAGUCAAGGGAAUUUGGUCAUUGAUAGGCUUGUUUUCCAGAUUCUAUUUCUGCUCACAAAUGGGACCAGUGUCAGAGCACAGCCCACAGCCCUUCAGAAUGCACAGUCCCGUGCUCUGCCCUUCCAGAGUGCAGGAUGAGGACCUGAAAGAUCCUCAAGUGACGCUAACGACCAACAUGAUGGAGAAUUACUCAGAAGAGAAGAAGGACCUAGCCAUGGCUGUCCUCGGUGCAGUGCAAAGCUCAGGAACGAUGGGGGGAAAGGUAAGUGUAAGCAUCCCCUACUGCCCCUCUACUUGAAACUGGUUCAUGUUCUACCCAAAAGGACUCCAGGGGGAGUUCCCUUGCCUGCAUGGAGCCAGGCAGUGUGUGACUCUAGGACAAAAUGCGCCAGAUUCACAUGCUGAAGGUGAGCUCAGGCUGCAUCCAGACGAAGAUCCAGGCCCCUGCGAGUGCCACAGACGGGGGUGAGUCUUAGUUCUUUCCUUGUAAUUCGUAAUGGCUUGCCAUGGCAAAAACAAGACUGGAGACCUGGAGGAGGCUCCUGGCUCCUGGCUCCUGGCUUCGGAUCGGCGCAGCUCUGGCCUUUGCGGCCAUAUGGGGAGUGAACCACUGGAUGAAAGGGCUUUCUCUCUCUGCCUCUGCUUCUCUAUAACUGCCUUUCAAAUAAAUAAACCUUUAAAAAU
rnacentral:lncRNA from 1 species